UUCCGUAGGGUAACCUGCGGAGGGAUCAUUACUGAGUGAGGGCCUUCGGGCUCGACCUCCAACCCUUUGUGAACACAACUUGUUGCUUCGGGGGCGACCCUGCCGUUUCGACGGCGAGCGCCCCCGGAGGCCUUCAAACACUGCAUCUUUGCGUCGGAGUUUAAGUAAAUUAAACAAAACUUUCAACAACGGAUCUCUUGGUUCUGGCAUCGAUGAAGAACGCAGCGAAAUGCGAUAAGUAAUGUGAAUUGCAGAAUUCAGUGAAUCAUCGAAUCUUUGAACGCACAUUGCGCCCCUUGGUAUUCCGAGGGGCAUGCCUGUUCGAGCGUCAUUUCACCACUCAAGCCUCGCUUGGUAUUGGGCGCCGCGGUGUUCCGCGCGCCUCAAAGUCUCCGGCUGAGCUGUCCGUCUCUAAGCGUUGUGAUUUCAUUAAUCGCUUCGGAGCGCGGGCGGUCGCGGCCGUUAAAUCUUUCACAAGGUUGACCUCGGAUCAGGUAGGGAUACCCGCUGAACUUAAGCAUAUCAAUAAGCGGAGGAA
rnacentral:rRNA from 1 species